CACGUAGGGCGCAAGCGUUGUCCGGAAUUAUUGGGCGUAAAGAGCUCGUAGGCGGUCUGUUGCGUCCGCUGUGAAAACUCGGGGCUUAACCCCGAGCCUGCAGUGGAUACGGGCAGACUAGAGGUAGGUAGGGGAGAAUGGAAUUCCCGGUGUAGCGGUGAAAUGCGCAGAUAUCGGGAGGAACACCGGUGGCGAAGGCGGGUCUGUGGGCCGAUACUGACGCUGAGGAGCGAAAGCGUGGGGAGCGAACAGG
rnacentral:rRNA from 1 species